GCUGACCUGGAACUCGCUCUGUAGGCCAGGCUGUCCUUGCAUUCACAGAGACCCACCUGCCUCUGCCUCCCGAGUGCUGGGAACCACCCCUCACCCCUCAGCUAGCCAACUUUUAAGGAGAACACCGAGCAGAAAGUAGAGAUUUAUGACACACCCGGUCUUCCACACUUACAACGACCUCCCCACUACCGACAACCCCAAACAGCCUUGUUCAAGGAGGCACGCAUCUGCCAAACCCCCUCUGUAAAGGGCAUCAGGUGGACAGCAGGAACGCGGGCAGACAGACCCGCCAGGACAGGGAGCCAGGACGGCGUUGCCUCGUGUGUAACAGUCUCCCAGCCCAGGCUAUGAAUUCUUUUUCAUUUUCUUGAGACUGGCUCUCCAGCCCAAAAUGGCCUCAGACUUCCUGUGCGGGCCAAGAUGGUCUUGAACUUGGGCCCUUUCUGACUCUAUUUCCUGAGAGCUGAGAACUGAGCAGAGGACUCCGUGCAUGCUAGGUUAGUUUCGUUUCCAUUCCAAAGGGGAAAAGGAGUCGCUACAAGACUGCAGAACAGAGUAAUUACACAAGUAGGUUGAGAAGAUUGUUUGCAGAUUUAGGCGCAAGAUAGA